UUAGGCAAAUUAGGUUUAUGAGGAAUCGAAAAAACUCCUGAAAUGUUAAAGGCAUACAUAUAGUGAUUUUUGUAUUUUCAUUAACAAAUCAAGCAUUUACAUUUAAAAAAGUGACAUUUGAUGAAGUGGGACUGCUGAUGAUGAUCAGAAUGGAACUCUUCAACGACGCAUAAUUCACGAUUGCCGAUUAAGUAGUAGUAAAUUAGAUUUUCAAGACAUUUUUUAAUAUAAUAUAAUAAUCUUUCUUUCACCGGUCUCCCUCAUUGAAGUCGGUUCUUUUUUUUGAAAAUUAUUUUUAAUUAUAACUUCAGUCCAGUGGGACUAUUUCGCCAUAUCAAGGCCUAGAGCUUUAAAUACGACUAAAAUUGUACGGUUAGUACAAGACUGUACGGUGAUUUUAUCAGCUCUUGUAAAGCGAUAGCUGGACUUUACAAGUAGCACGUGGACUACCGGCCGUUGACUCCAAGAUGGUGGUUAAACGCAUUUCAAGAUUAAUUCUCCAUUCACUGCACACUACUACAUUAGUUUACUGUAUAAUAAGCUAUCGAUAUUACACUUUAAACAAUAUUAAUGAGCAAAAAACACAGCAAUUAAUCACUAGGCGUGACUAUCAAUAUGGCGCUCGAACCCGAAGUCGAUAUGGAUUAGAUAGUUCAGUGUCAAGUGACGUUUCUUCAAAUAAAAACGUCACUUUUGACACUAACAUAUCCAAUACUGUUUGAAUCAGGCCAUUAGGCGGUAUUGACUUCGAUGUGAAUCCGCACUCCGGAGCGGAGCGCGGAUCCGCAUUAGCGUGUUAACCGCCUUAUUCCUCAUUUCCCCAUACCCUCGGGGCUGCGUGAUAUUUAUUUUACAUUACUUAGAACGACGAAAGACAUUGUGGAAACCUGUUUUGUUAUAAAGUACCACAGAUUGCCUCUCAUAGAUAUUGCAAUGGUAGAAAAACAAGGAGUGUGACUUUCUGGCUCAACCAGACGCGGGAACUUGGAUGCGAGUUUAGUUACAUUGCCGACUAUCUGAAGUACAGCUCACAUAGCCAAUACGCCAAUCGUUGACGCUCGGUAGCGUAGCAUAGUCAUCUCUCUAUAUCACUCUUGCGCAUUAGUGCGACAGUGAUAGUUGCGUUUCGUUCGGUACGGAGCGUUAACGAUUGGCAUGUUGGCUGCGCGGCCAGAGAGCUGUAAAAUGGCAUAGACACAUGAAUGAAGAAAUUCAUAAAAUGGCAAUUUUUCGGAUGAGUAAACAUUUGGUAUCUAGAGUAGCGUAUUUGACAAUGUGUCAAAGCUAAUAUAGUAUUUUAUGCAACAGUUGUAUAAGAAGGGUCAAAAAAGGCGAGUGGCGUGAGAAUACGCCACGAGAAUUUUUUGACCUACUUAUACAACGUUGCAUACAAUAUUUUUCCUACGAGUCAACAAAAAUAAAUCUUAAUUUAGGUAAACAAAUUACAGCAAAAGUAUAUAGCCAAGACGCGCGCGCAUACCUUGUGACGCGCCCGGCCCGCCCCGGGCCGCGGCCGGCCGGUCGGCGACACCUCCUCGUAACUCAUGAGGCCCUGGUACUUGCUACUUGCUAAAUUAAGUUUUUGGACAGUUUUUUCUCAAUUUUGGCCACCGUAGCCUACGGAGACUAACAAGCAACGCUAAGCGGUCUUCGUAGUCUAUGGGUGUUGCUAUAUUACGGGUGUCACAUGCGUGUUUCUGACUUAUGAAGUAAUUAUUUUUACUAUGCAACCAAAUGAAUAUUUAGUUUAAAACUGUAUUCGUUUUUGUUUUGUUAGGUUGGUAGCCAUUAAUCGCAGUAACAUUAUAGCUUAUAAAAGCACAAGAGCUUUUAUGAGGAAUAGACAAUAUAGACUUUUCUUGAAAUCUUUUAUGUAUGUUCUUAUAUUCGUGUUAAUGAAUGCAUAAAUGACAGAUAACAGUAGAGGAG